UACGAAGGGGGCUAGCGUUGUUCGGAAUUACUGGGCGUAAAGGGCGCGUAGGCUUUGCUGUAAGUCAGGCGUGAAAUCCCCGGGCUCAACCUGGGAAUUGCGUUUGAUACUGCGGCGCUGGAAUGCAGGAGAGGAUGGCGGAAUUCCCAGUGUAGAGGUGAAAUUCGUAGAUAUUGGGAAGAACACCGGUGGCGAAGGCGGCCAUCUGGCCUGUAAUUGACGCUGAGGCGCGAAAGCGUGGGGAGCAAACAGG
rnacentral:rRNA from 1 species